GAAGCAUAUUCAUGAUUAAAUCUGUAUGCUGGCUUAUUUGAGUGACUGCUCUCUGAUUGCGGUUUCCUCAGUCCUAGUUCUUCCUCUUCUUCUUCUUCUUUUUUCCUUUUCUUUUUUCUUCCCUUUCCUUCCUUUCUUUUUGGUUUAGAGAAGCCCUUUCAAUAUUUCCUUUAACCUGGGUUUUGUGUUGCUGUAUUCUUUAAGUUUUUGUUUGUUGGGAAAAGUUUUUAUUUCCCCUUCUAUUUUAAAUGAUAUUCUUGCUGGAUAGAGUAUUCUAGGUUGCAUAUUUUUUCCUUUGAGCACUUUAAAUAUCUCUUGCCAUUCCCUCCUGGCCUGUAGUGUUUCUGUAGAGAAAUCAGCUGAUAUUCUUAUGGGGGUUCCCUUGUAGGUAACAUUCUGUUUUUCUCUUGCUGCCUUUAGGAUCCUCUCUUUAUCACUAACUUUUGCCAUUUUUAUUAGGAUGUGUCUUGGUGUGGGUCUGUUUGGGUUCAGUUUGUUUGGGGCCCUCUGUGCUUCUUGUAUCUUGAAUCCAGUAUCCUUUAGACUUGGGAAGUUUCCAUCGAUACUUUCUUCAAAUAUAUUUUCCAUUCCCUUAUCUUUUUCUGCUCCUUCUGGAAUUCCUAUUAUGCAUAGAUUGGCCCGCUUUAUAUUAUCCCAUAGGUCUCUUAUAUUGCUUUCCAGUUUUUUGAUUCGGUUUUCUGUCUGUUGACCGGAUUGAGUGAUUUCCAUUAUUCUAUCUUCCAUAUCACUGAUUCGUUCUUCUGCAUUAUUCAUUCUGGUUUUUACUGCCCCUAGUUCAGUUUGCAUCUCUGCAAAUGAAUGUUCUAGUUUUUCUUGGCUCCUCCUUAUAUUUUCUAGUUCCUUUCUGAGGGUAUCUGCAUUACUGUUCAUAUCUUCUCUUAAUUCCUUCAGUAUUUUCACUAUUUCUCUUUUGAACUCCAGGUCUGUCAGACUGUAGAGAUCUGUUUCAUUGUUGACUGUUUUAGGUGAGUUCUCCUGUUGGUUUGACUGGGGGUGGUUUCUCAGCUUCUUCAUCUUGCUUGUUGUUUUCUUUCUCCUGAGAGGAGUUGUACUCUCCGUUAUCGGGCAGUGUUUGCCUUGUCACUGCCGUGGAAUAUUUCCUGAGGGCUGGCGUUGUUGGUCAAUCUUUUUUGAGGCAGUGUGGCUUUUCUGGAGUGUUGAUGGGGCUAACAGUGUUUCUUUGAAGCAAAGGAGGACUUCCUGAGGGCAGACAGGACUGGGAGGUCCACACCACGAUGGUAGCAGAUUUCACUUGGUCAUGCAGAGCUUGCUCUGGUGUUUUUAGGCUGUGGGGUUCUUGCAGGGGGUUGGCGGUGUUGGGCAGCUGCUCUUCAGAGGUGCAUCACCCCCUGGGGGCUGGAGCAGCUAUCUGGGUCACUGAGAACCUAAGAGGCUCUUCCCUAAGGUAGCCCAACUCAGAAAGACAGCCUGAGAAUGUAGGCGGAUCUUUUCACAGUCUGGCUGAGCUUGUUGCAGCUUUUCUGGGCUGCAGGUGCUCUUCCAGGGGGCUGGUGGUGCUGAGCAGUUAUUUCACAGGAGUGGGGCACCCCCUGGGGGCUUGGGCGGGUAGCAGGGCCGUUGGAGAUCCAAGAGGCUCCUCCCCAGGGCAGCCCAACUCAGAAAAACCAUCUGAGAUCUUUUCCCAACUCGGCCAGGCUUGUUGCAGCUUUUUUGGGCUGCAGGGGGUCCUGCCUGGAGCUGGCAGUCCUAUGCAGCUAGUCCACUAGGCACCCCCUGGGGUCUUGGGAGGGUAGCAGGGCCCUUGGAGACUCAAGAGGUUCCUCCCCAGGGCAGCCCGAUUCAGAAAGACCGUCUGAGAUCUUUUCCCGAUUCCGCCAGGCUUGUUGCAGCUUUUCUGGGCUGCAGGGGGUCCUGCCUGGAGCUGGCAGUCCUAUGCAGCUGGUCCACUAGGUCUCAGCACCCCUUGGGGUCUUGGGCGGGUAGCAGGGCCUUUGGAGACUCAAGAGGCUCCUCCCCAGAACAGCCCGACUCAGAAAGACCGUCUGAGAUCUUUUCCCAAGUCGGCCAGGCUUGUUGCAGCUUUUCUGGGCUGCAGGGGGUCCUGCCUGGAGCUGGCAGUCCUAUGCAGCUGGUCCACUAGGUCUCAGCACCCCCUAGGGGUCUUGGGCGUGUAGCAAGGCCCUUGGAGACUCAAGAGGCUCCUCCCCGGGGGAGCCCGUCUCAGAAAAACCGUCAGAGAAUUAGGUCGAUCUAUUCACGGCCUGGCUAGGCUUGUUCUAGCUUUUCUGGGCUGCAGGCCUUUUUUAGGGGGCUGGUGGUGUUUGGUGCUGCUCUGUGGAAGUGUAGCCCCUCCAAAGGGCAAGCAGGCCUGUGCAGGGAGAGCCCCUGCGGUGGUAGGCUUCAGGCAAUUGUUGAGGCCAGCCCUCCUGGAUGGCAGGCAGCCCCAGGUUCGGCGAGAGCGUAGGGGGUGGUGGGGGUGGGGGGAGGGAAUGCACUGGGAAGCACAGCUUUCUGCUAGCUAGCGGGCCUGUAAGCUUGUUGUGGCGUGGGGGGUAUUCUAUGGGGACCCACCCCUUCUUCUCUCCCCUCCCCAGCACUGGCGCAGACCAGGCUCUUCUCCCAGGUUCCCUCUGAGGCGGCUUUCCACUUCCCCGCCCCUAGAGUAUUGCUCCCUUCCUCUGCGACAGCUUUGUUUUCUAGUCUCCCAGGCAGUCUCUGCCCCGUCAAAUGGUUUAGAGACCUCCCAAGCAGUUUCCGCUCUUCCCCGCCCCCCUAGCCCGGGGACUAAUCUCUGGAGCCGAGGUCUCGGUGCCCAGCCCCCCCCCAGGCGUCCCCCGGCCCUUUCUUGGGGACUAACCUUCGGAGGCGAGGUCUCGGUGCCCAGCCCCAACCCAGGCGUC
rnacentral:lncRNA from 1 species